CCCCUUGAGUGCGCCGCGUCCUGCGCCUAUAUUCGAGUUGUUCCGGGUUCGCUCGGGACUAUGGCGAUAAACGCGCCCGUAAUAAGCGGAUCGGACCCGGGGGCGGUACCCGGCGGCUCCACCAAGAACCCUCGUUGGGGGAAGACGGGGCCGAAACAGGAUCGACGAACGUGUAAAGGGGAUUGCUUUUGCCCGGUGAGCUACCACCGUUAUCGGUGCACAAAGUACAGUUGCCAACGACAACCGUGCUCCGGUGGCCCUGGCUGCGUAAGCAGUUCGGGUGACCGAAAUCUAAGUCCGGCGGCCUAGCAGCUGUCCGGCGGGGUUCGCAGGCACCUGGCAACAGAAGCCUGCACU
rnacentral:tmRNA from 1 species